rnacentral:rRNA from 1 species
UACGGGGGGGGCAAGCGUUGUUCGGAAUUACUGGGCGUAAAGGGCUCGUAGGUGGCCAACUAAGUCAGACGUGAAAUCCCUCGGCUUAACCGGGGAACUGCGUCUGAUACUGGAUGGCUUGAGUUUGGGAGAGGGAUGCGGAAUUCCAGGUGUAGCGGUGAAAUGCGCAGAUAUCAGGAGGAACACCGGUGGCGAAGGCGGAUCUCUGGGCCACUACUGACGCUGAGGUGCGAAAGCUAGGGGAGCAAACGGG